GGUGGCUCAGUGGCAGAGCGCUUGCCUUGUAUGCCUGAGGCCCUGGGUUCAAUUCCUCAGCACCA
rnacentral:tRNA from 1 species